CCUACGGGAGGCAGCAGUGGGGAAUAUUGCACAAUGGGGGCAACCCUGAUGCAGCGACGCCGCGUGGAGGAUGAAGGUUUUCGGAUUGUAAACUCCUUUUGUUAGAGAAGAUAAUGACGGUAUCUAACGAAUAAGCACCGGCUAACUCCGUGCCAGCAGCCGCGGUAAUACGGAGGGUGCAAGCGUUACUCGGAAUCACUGGGCGUAAAGAGCGAGUAGGCGGGAUAGCAAGUCAGAUGUGAAAUCCUAGGGCUUAACCAUAGAACUGCAUUUGAAACUGUUAUUCUAGAGUAUGGGAGAGGUAGGUGGAAUGCUUGGUGUAGGGGUAAAAUCCGUAGAGAUCAAGAGGAAUACUCAUUGCGAAGGCGACCUGCUAGAACAUAACUGACGCUGAUGCGCGAAAGCGUGGGGAGCAAACAGGAUUAGAUACCCGUGUAGUC
rnacentral:rRNA from 1 species